AUACGGAGGGUGCGAGCGUUAAUCGGAAUUACUGGGCGUAAAGCGCGCGUAGGCGGCUUAUUAAGUCAGAUGUGAAAUCCCCGGGCUCAACCUGGGAACUGCAUCUGAUACUGGUAAGCUAGAGUUUUGGAGAGGGAAGUAGAAUUUCAGGUGUAGCGGUGAAAUGCAUAGAGAUCUGAAGGAAUACCAGUGGCGAAGGCGACGUCCUGGCCAAAAACUGACGCUGAGGUGCGAAAGCGUGGGUAGCAAACGGGAUUAGAAACCCUAGUAGUCC
rnacentral:rRNA from 1 species